rnacentral:lncRNA from 1 species
GCACAGUCUAUUUCUUUCAUUUUCCUUGAAAAUACCAAACUGGUUGUUACAGAGACCCAAGGCUGAAAUAUUCCAAAGCAACGUUUCACUCAUCCUUCCUCCCAGAUUCUUUUCUCUGCUGCAGUCAAUUCCCCCUUUUUCCAUUUGUAGAGACAAAAGGGAACAUUCUAUAACCACUGGCCUCUGUCCAGGAACACAGGAGAAAAUGAAGCAAGGCAAACAACAGAGAAAAGUGAACAACAAAAGAACAAACUCAAACGAAACUGCUUAACAAUCCUACAGUGCAGACCUGGCAGCUAGACAUGGAAGAGGAUAAGGAAAAUAUGGAACCCAAAGGACUGUGCAAAGAUUAUAGGAUGCUGUGAGCAAAUGGGGUGGAAGCAUGCUUUCCUGAGCUAUAGAAGGAACGAUCUGGUGGUUCAGAUAAAACAAUCAAAUUUAUUAG